CUGCUGCGCGAUUACAUAGCGAAUCCAGCUUCGUGGAGUCGGGUUGCAGACUCCAGUCCGAACUGAGAGGGGUUUUACGGAUUAGCGUCCUGUCACCAGGUAGCGACCUGCUGUACCCCCCAUUGUAACACGUGUGUAGCCCCGGACGUAAGGGCCGUGCUGAUUUGACGUCAUCCCCACCUUCCUCACAUCUUACGAUGGCAGUCCUUCCAGAGUCCCCAGCAUCACCUGAUGGUAACUGGAAGCAAGGGUUGCGCUCGUUAUGGCACUUAAGCCGACACCUCACGGCACGAGCUGACGACAACCAUGCAGCACCUUCACACUGGUCCGAAGAAAAACCCAUCUCUGAGUCUGUCCAGUGCAAUUUAAGCCCGGGUAAGGUUCCUCGCGUAUCAUCGAAUUAAACCACAUGUUCCUCCGCUUGUGCGGGCCCCCGUCAAUUCCUUUGAGUUUCACCGUUGCCGGCGUACUCCCCAGGUGGGAUACUUAACGUUUUCACUUGGCCGCUGACCAUAUAUCGCCAACAGCGAGUAUCCAUCGUUUACCGUGUGGACUACCAGGGG
rnacentral:rRNA from 1 species